rnacentral:hammerhead_ribozyme from 1 species
AUCCAGUCGACGAGUCCCAAAUAGGACAAAACGCGCGCCCUGGAU